ACUUACAAAUGCAUUGGUUCAAACAUUCUUACACGUUAAUAUUAAACAAUUAAACAAAGAUAAAUUUUAUCAACAAGUGUUGAUGUGAUGUUUUAAUCAAUGUAUUUUAUGUAUAAUACCUUUUAUAUCAUAUUUCUCAAUUGGUCUCCAAAUAGGUUUGUUGUUUUUACAUUAUUCUCGUACAAAAUUAUUAUUAAUAUAUAUAUUAACUCAUAUUUUAGUACUUUUAUAUAAGUAUUAUAAUAUAUACUAUAUAAAAGCUAAUAAUUAUUAACUCUUAUUGUUUAACUGAUUCAUAAGUAUUAUGUAUAUAAAAAGUCAUUUAUUUAUUUAAUUUUUAAUGGAUAAUAACAGACACCAAAAGUGAAAAGGACUCUCAGGUGAUAUCUAAGAUGAAAACAAACAAGAAUUCAAUACGUAAAUGAUCAAACACUAGUGAGUAUUGUAUAAUAAUUAUAAUUUUAUGUAUCAAAAAAUUAUAGCAAUAACACUCAUGCGACCAAAUUAAAAUUGUCUCAAUUGUCUGUCUCCUAAUAUAUAAUAUUUUCGUAUAAAUCUAAUAUAAAAAUACCAACUCAUGUACAAACCAUCUAAAGAAUAUGAAUACAUUUUUAUUAUAUUUAAUAAAUGAUUGAUUUGAUUUAAGGACAUUUUAUUUAUCAUAUUUACUAUAAUUCAACUAAUUUAAAUUGAAAUAAUUUAGGAAUUUUAAGAUUUUAAAUUGACAUUGUCUGUUAUUGAUUUUUAAAUUUAAAAAAACAACACAUUGUACUGAUUUCAGUCAAAAAAUUAUUUUAGAAUGAACAAAAAAUAGCCAUAAGUAUAUAUUUCUUUAUAAUGAAGUAUGGAAUUUUUUUUUUUCUCAAUAAAUUUGUAUUCUGAAAAGGGUUAGUUUAGUUGAUUUAUAAACAUUGAAAAAUGUCAGUACUUCUUACAAAGGAAGGAAAUAUUUUAUCAGCAUAAUUCUAAAUAGUAUCCUUUCAAUUUUAAAUGAAGAUCAUAGAUACAAUCCUAAAUGUACAGCUAAGAAAAGUAUGGGUAAAUUAAUUUAUUUUAUAUAUGAACUUACUUCGGCUUUUAAGUAAUACAAUUUUCAUGACAAAAAAAGUAAUAUCAAAUUUUAUAAUCGUCAAUUAAUUAUGAAAAUUCUAAAAUUGUGCCUUUUUAAAAUCAAAUAUAUAUUAGUUAAAUUAA